CUGCUGCCUCCCGUAGGAGUCUGAUCCGUGUCUCAGUACCAGUGUGGGGGACCUUCCUCUCAGAACCCCUACGCAUCGUCGGUUAGGUGGGCCGUUACCCCGCCUACUGCCUAAUGCGCCGCAUGCCCAUCCCUGUCCGGCCGAAGCCUUUCCUGCCUCCGGGAUGCCCCGGUGGCAUGUACGCGGGUUUAGCCCGCCUUUCGGCGGGUUGUCCCCCUGACAGGGGCAGGUUGCAUACGUGUUACUCACCCGUGCGCCGGUCGCCGGCGGAG
rnacentral:rRNA from 1 species